rnacentral:rRNA from 1 species
AUUGAACGCUGGCGGCAGGCCUAACACAUGCAAGUCGAACGAGUGGCGGACGGGUGAGUAAUGUCUGGGAAACUGCCUGCUGGAUGGGGAUAACUACUGGAAACGGUAGCUACUACCGCAUCCCCUCAGCUGUGCCCAAAUGGGUUUAGCUUGUUGUUGGGGUAACGGCUCACCAAGGCGACGAUCCCUAGCUGGUCUGAGAGGAUGACCAGCCACACUGGAACUGAGACACGGGCCAGACUCCUACGGGAGGGAGCAGGGGGGAAUAUUGCACAAUGGGCGAAAGCCUGAUGCAGCCAUGCGGCGUGUAUGAAGAAGGCCUUCGGGUUGUAAAGUACUUGCAGCGGGGAGGCGUUACCCGCAGAAGAAGCACCGGCUAACUCCGUGCCAGCAGCCGCGGUAAUUC